GAUAAACGCUGGCGGCGCACAUAAGACAUGCAAGUCGAACGGACUUAACUCAUUCUUUUAGUUUGAGAGCGGUUAGUGGCGGACUGGUGAGUAACACGUAAGCAACCUGCCUAUCAGAGGGGAAUAACAGUGAGAAAUCAUUGCUAAUACCGCAUAUGCUAACAGUAUCGCAUGAUACAGUUAGGAAAGGAGCAAUCCGCUGAUAGAUGGGCUUGCGUCUGAUUAGCUAGUUGGUGGGGUAACGGCCUACCAAGGCGACGAUCAGUAGCCGGACUGAGAGGUUGAACGGCCACAUUGGGACUGAGAUACGGCCCAGACUCCUACGGGAGGCAGCAGUCGGGAAUAUUGCGCAAAUGGAGGAAAACUCUGACGCAGUGACGCCGCGUAUAGGAAGAAGGUUUUCGGAUUGUAAAACUAUUGUCGUUAGGGAAGAUACAAGACAGUACCUAAGGAGGAAGCCCCGGCUAACUAAUGUGCCAGCAGCCGCGG
rnacentral:rRNA from 1 species